rnacentral:rRNA from 1 species
GCCUACGGGGGGCAGCAGUGGGGAAUAUUGGGCAAUGGGCGCAAGCCUGACCCAGCAACGCCGCGUGAAGGAAGAAGGCUUUCGGGUUGUAAACUUCUUUUAUGAGGGACGAAAGAAAUGACGGUACCUCAUGAAUAAGCCACGGCUAACUACGUGCCAGCAGCCGCGGUAAUACGUAGGUGGCAAGCGUUAUCCGGAUUUACUGGGUGUAAAGGGCGUGUAGGCGGGACUGCAAGUCAGAUGUGAAAACCACGGGCUCAACCUGUGGCCUGCAUUUGAAACUGUAGUUCUCGAGUACUGGAGAG